rnacentral:lncRNA from 1 species
GUAGAAACAUGCAGUUAUCAUUUAUUUCAAUUCUUUUCUAAACACAGACUUCCAAUUCCAAUAAUGCAAGUAUAGCAAAUGCAUUAGUUUCUUAUGGCUUUACCUCAGCACAUAAAUGAAAAUAAUACAGCAAAACUGUAACUUCUGAGCAAGUAAUCACAAGAAUUAUAAAGACUAAGAAAAGGAAGCCAAACAUGUAGUACAGCUAAUGAGACCAAAUACUGUUCAGAAUGAAAAAGAGUUGAAUAAAAAUACAGCCGAAGGGGAAAAUGCCACCAAUUAUGAUGCCAAGAAGUGGUUUUGUAAAGAAGGUAUUUUAAGAGUUUACCUUUUCUUUAUUUCCAAAAUAUGCACCAAAAAAUGUUAGUGGUACUAAAAUUCUAAACCAAAUUGUAAGGAUAUCUAGCAGAGUAGCAAAGGAGACGGCAGCUGAUGACCCUUCCAUCCAGAGAAUUUUCAUCAUAAUAAAGAGAUCAGCAAAGACAAUUUCCAGUUUUUAAAUGGGGAUUUUAAUAGACAUACUUCCAAAGAAGACAUGCAAAUGGUCAAUAAGCACAUGAAAAGAUGCUCAAUAUCAUUAGUCAUCAGGGAAAUGCAAAUUAAAACUAUAAAAUAGGCGGUGCACCCUGGGAUAGGGAGCGAUCUCCAAGCGAGGCGGCAAGAUGGACUCAGGAUUCUUCCACCGAUCAAGUGCAGAACAGUAUAAUCGGUUCAGCAACAAACAGAAGAAACUACUGAAGCAGCUGAAAUUUGCAGAAUGCCUAGAAAAAAAGGUGGACACGAGCAAAGUAAAUUUGGAAGUUAUAAAGCCUUGGAUAACAAAAAGAGUAACAAAAAUCCUUGGGUUUGAAGAUGAUGUUGUGAUUGAGUUUAUAUUCAACCAGCUGUAAGUGAAGAAUCCAGACUCCAAAAUGAUGCAAAUCAACCUGAAUGGAUUUUCGAAUGGAAAAAAUGCUCGAGAAUUUACGGGAGAACUAUGGCCCCUGCUGCUAAGUGCACAAGAAAACAUCUCGGGAAUCUCUUCUGCUUUCCUAGAACUGAAGAAAGAAGAAAUAAAACAAAGACAGAUUGAAUAAGAAAAAUUGGCGUCUAAAAGAAGGAAAAAACUCCAGAGCUUUUUUUUUUUUUAAACUAAAGCUAUAUAAAGCUUGUGGAUUAAACAGAAUAAAUUUCUAAAUUUUGGUCUUAAAUUCCUGGGUGCAAGCAAUUUGUCUACCUUAGCCUCCCAAAGUGCUGGGAUUACAGGCACAAGUUAUCACGCCCUGCCCAUUUCUUAUAUUUUACAUUUUUUGUAUGUUAAGUAUUUUGGUGGUGACUGCCUGUUGUCCUAGACACCCAGGAAGCUGAGGUGGGGAGAGGAGUGAUGCAGCUAGCAAAUGCCUGGUCAGGGAUGUGGAGACUUACUACUCAAAAUGUAAAGAGGAAUAAAGGAAAAAUAGGAGAAAAAUAAAAAGGAGAAACAGUGAUGCUUCCCUUUUGAUUUACUUACUCAGCAUACAAUUUAUCCCUUGGCUUCUGUGUAAUGAAUAAUAGGUAAUCUUUAUGGAAUUGUCUAUACAUGUGUAUGCAUAAUAAAACCAUUCACUCACAGUUGGGAAAAAUUACUGAUGUGCAUCUCUUUCUAUUCAUUUUUGUAACCCUAGUGCCUGGUACAUAAUAUGCCCUUUUAAGUGUUUCUAGAAUGAAUAAAUUCUAUUUAAAGCUGAAAAACUUUUUAUUUUAUUGUUUUAUUUUAUUUUAAGACAGAGUCUCUUAUUUUGAGAUGGAGUCUCACUCUUUCACCCACUCUACAAACUGGCACUAAAGCAGGUUUGUCAGUAGAGGGCGCUGGAGAGACAUCGCAAGGGAAAGGGUUUAUUUCCUGGUUGAUCUUGGCUCACUCCACAGGCUUCUGUUUUCUUUCAGCAUGCUGCAGCCCAAUCGUUUAAGCCCAGGAGUUGGAGACCAGCCUGAACAACGUUGUAAGACCCCACCUCUACAAAGUCCGUAUCCUUUGACCCAGCAAAUAAUUAGUAAUUAUCCUAAAUAAUUAAGACUACAUAGAUGGCUGUACAACAAUAGCUGUCAUUUAUUGAGUGCCUACUAUGUAUUAAACACUGCUCUAGCACUUUACAAGUAUUAUCCUAUUUAUCCUUGUAACAACCCUGUGUAUUACAGUACACACGAUUCUUUUUUAGAGACGGAGCUGUUGCCAGGCUAGAAUGCAGUGGCGCAAUCUUGGCUCACUGCAACUUUGGUGGGACUACAGGCACGCACCACCACGCCCAGCUAAUUUUUAUAGUAUACGCUAUGAUUAUUUCCAUUUUACAGAUGUAGAUAUAAAAUAUGUAUUAUAUAUAUAUGAACAUGGAAAGAAGUCCAUCAUAAACUUCUCAGUAAAGACAUAAAAGAUCACAUACAUACAUAUAUAAAAUCUCACAUGAAGUUAUACACAGUAUACAUAAAAAAAAUUUAUUAAAAUUGGAGAGGAUUACGAGGAGACUCUUGGAACUCUAUACCAAAUAAAGAGUUUUGUAGGAGGUUUUCACAAGCCUAUACUACUUUUGUAAUUGUAAAAACCAUAAUGUUUCAUAAUAAGGAGGUGUGAGGUGGGGGUCUCAAAGAUCCAGAGACCUACCUGGAUCUCUGGCAUGGUAGUGUGUCCAGAAAUGGUGGGUUCUUGGUCUCACUGACUUCAAGAAUGAAACCGCGGACCCUCGCGGUGACCGUUACAGUUCUUACAGGCGGUGUGUCUGGAGUUUGUUUCUUCUAGACGUUCGGAUGUGUCCGGAGUUUUUUCCUUCUGGGAAGAGGAAAUUCACAAGAAAGAGUAUCACUAUAUAAAAGAAAUAGCAAAAAGUAGCUGCUGGUUUUAUUUAAGCUUUGUUGUUGUUUUUUUUUAGACAGAGUCUCACUCUGUCGCCACGCCUGGACUGCAGUGGCGCAGUCUGGGCUUACUGCAACCUCCACCUCCUGGGUUCAAGUGAUUCCCGUGCCUCAGCCUCCCGAGUAGCUGGUACUACAGGCAUGCACCACCACGCCCGGCUAAUUUUUUUUUUUUUU